AGGUAAGGACAACCAGCCAGUCAGAAGCAGAUUAUGACGGUGUGCCACGUUAGAAGCUAGGCGAGCAUUAUAACGCGUGUUACAAAGUUGCGCACAUUUGUCACGGAAGUGAAGGCUGGACAACAAUAGAGCGGUUUGGACCAGUUUGUGAACAUGA